rnacentral:lncRNA from 10 species
GUAGACACAUAGAGAGCUAUGCUGAAGUUUUACAGAAUUCACGCUAGAACUUAGUUGUCCAAGUAUUGGAUCAGAGCUAUUCCUUUCCUGUCAUUUGCUCAAUUUUUCAUUUAAUUAUUCAUUCAUUCAUUUUUUUCAACUAUCCAUAACAGUUAUCAAGCACCUUCUCUACAAGAUAUUUUACCAGGUUCACGACAUAUAAGGCAUUUACAGACUUUGCCCCCAUCAAACAAACUAUGUAGUGAGAAUUACAUAUAUUAGACAAAUAUUCCUACAAGUAACUAGAUAUUUAUCAUAAAAUUAAUAUA